AUUCAGCCAAUGAGUCCCAAAUAGGACGAAACGCGCGUCAAACUGGAU
rfam:Schistosoma rodhaini strain Burundi genome assembly, scaffold: SROB_scaffold0013635